rnacentral:rRNA from 1 species
UAAGGAAUAUUGGUCAAUGGACGCAAGUCUGAACCAGCCAUGCCGCGUGAAGGAUGGAGGUCCUCUGGAUUGUAAACUUCUUUUAUCUGGGACGAAAACGGGAUUUUUAUCUCAAUUGACGGUACCAGAGGAAUAAGCACCGGCUAACUCCGUGCCAGCAGCCGCGGUAAUACGGAGGGUGCAAGCGUUAUCCGGAUUCACUGGGUUUAAAGGGUGCGUAGGUGGGUAUGUAAGUCAGUGGUGAAAUCCCCGAGCUUAACUUGGGAAAUGCCAUUGAUACUAUAUAUCUUGAAUACCGUAGAGGUAAGCGGAAUAUGUCAUGUAGCGGUGAAAUGCUUAGAUAUGACAUGGAACACCAAUUGCGAAGGCAGCUUACUAUGCGGUGAUUGACACUGAGGCACGAAAGCGUGGGUAGCAAACA